rnacentral:rRNA from 1 species
CCUACGGGAGGCAGCAGUGAGGAAUAUUGGUCAAUGGGCGAGAUCCUGAACCAGCCAAGCCGCGUGAAGGAAGACGGCCCUAUGGGUUGUAAACCUCUUUUGUCGGAGAACAAAACCAGGCACGUGUGCCUGACCGCGUGUACCUGAAGAAAAAGCAUCGGCUAACUCCGUGCCAGCAGCCGCGGUAAUACGGAGGAUGCGAGCGUUAUCCGGAUUUAUUGGGUUUAAAGGGUGCGUAGGCGGUCUGUUAAGUCAGCGGUAAAAUUGCGGGGCUCAACCCCGUCGAGCCGUUGAAACUGGCAGACUUGAGUUGGCGAGAGGUACGCGGAAUGCGCGGUGUAGCGGUGAAAUGCAUAGAUAUCGCGCAGAACUCCGAUUGCGAAGGCAGCAUACCGGCGCCAGACUGACGCUGAGGCACGAAAGCGUGGGGAUCGAACAGGAUUAGAUACCCCUGUAGUC